GAGAAGCCCCUUUUUAGAGGCCCCAGCGUGUGGUAGCUGCGUGGAAAAUGGCAUGCCGUGCCGCCGUCGACGACGGCGAGAGAGAGGGAAAGAGCUUGAGAGUGAAAUCUCCCGUAAACGAAUGAACCGCCAGACGGCGAAAUGUGUACGUGAAAUAUAAUCUCCAAAGGGGAGACGUCCCCUUCACACAUCUCGGUGACGACCAGCGGCGGCAUAUAUAGGCCAAGCUUCAAUUCGCAGCAUCUCAUCAUGCAGAUGCAGUACGUACGACGGAUUGAUUGGGAUUUGAGCAGGGAAAGGAACAGUGGUGAGUGUGGCCUCUUCCGAUCCAAGUCGCGGCUCAGGUUGCUAGCUAGCUAGACAAAAGCAAGAUUCUCUCCGGUAACCCCAUCACUGAUGUGAUGUCACGGCGAUCUUACGAUCGGUACGUACGGCGUACGUCCGUCCAUGGGUUUUCUUUCUUUUCUGCAAUAAUUCCGCUAGAUGAUCGUCAUAUAUAUACCAGAACAUGAACCGGCCUGCAGGUGCAGUGCAGAUGCAGUAGCUAGUGUACUGUUGAGAUUUGCAGGUUGAUCGAUCACAUGACGCGUUAUACUGUGUGUAAUCCUCAUCCUGUAGCAAGUACAAAGCAUACAUCAUAAAGUAAGGGUGUUGCAUUGUACAUUCGCAUAUUGUGGUUAAUAAUACACAUACAGUACAGUAUAGUAUUAGCAGGAUUUUGUUUUCCUAAAAAAAACAAUAGCUACUAUGAUGCAUGGUUCACAGUAUAGAGGAAGGAGCGCCAAUUAAUUGGGCGCAAAUAAAGGCUAGCUUGAGGCAGAAUUUGGCGGAAACAGCUUUGUUCAAAUCAGAAAUCUAUCAGCUAGCGAGCUAACACCCAAAAAGGGGAGGAAUGAAACUGCUGCACCCAGUUCUAAGCAACUCCGUCCGAUUAAUUAAACUGUCCAUCUCUCUGUCUGACAAGAAGCUAUAGCACAAUCAAGAGGGACAUCGAUCUCUAGCUAAUAAUUUCCAUUGCUAACAAACCAAACCAUAUUUACAUGACACAUUAAGGUUUUAUUUAGGUGCAUUCAAGACAGCAGCACCUGUAAGUAACUAACCUUCCUUUCCUUGAUCAGGCCACAGAUAGUAGUUAGGAGGACUGAACGACCGAUCGAUCGAGAGGCAAUAAUUAUUCCAUACAUACACAUGCA
rnacentral:lncRNA from 1 species